AUCUUGCUGUAGAUCUCUGCAUUUCUGUGGCUUUCUGAAGCUCUAGAAUGCCAGAAGAUAUGGAAUGCUUGCUCCAUAUGAAGAAGAGGACCAUGAUCUGAAUAUUUUGAGAAGAAUUUUGUUUUGUCCUGCUGCUUUUAAUACUCAGCACUGUAAUAUCAACUUUGAUCUCAGAAGAGUUGUUUCAUGAAGUCAUUCUUCUUGGAGCUGUUGUGUGGUACACGCUGCUUACCGAUACUUCUGAAAAGUCAACAAAUGCAGACUGCUAUUAGGACUAUAACUGAGAAGAUAAAAAUGACAAGUUGGAUACCAGACUUCCAAUGUUUGAGUGUCCCAUGGGAGAAAGAAUGACCACUGAAAAAGCAAACUUUUGAGAGACAAGAAGAAGAUAGGAAUGUGUCUGCCAUCCUAAAUGCUUUCUGGACUGAGAAGUAGUUGAAUACUGAUUUGAGUGAAAUGCUUUGGAUAUUAUCUGUUCUGAGACAGCUUAGUGACUUCAAAUACCAGGUGAAGUCUCACAAUCCUAUUUGUGCUGGGGUUCACUUAUUUCAUCAUAGUUAGGGAAAGAACUGAUGCUGCUUUUUUUCUUAUAAAAGUUCAUUAAAUGGAAUUAUGCUGCUACAGUUCUAAUGAGAUUGAGAAAAGGUAUGUAUUUGUAUAAUGUACUCGCAUAGCACCCAUUCUUUUUUGAAAUCAAGUAUGUAUAGCACUGUAAAUGUGUCUAGCUGCUGGAGGGGAAUGAAGGAAGCAUUUCAGAUACACUUAAUAUGCUUAUACACUUAUUUGCAGUAAACCACUUCACUUACGUUAUAUAGGAAAGGCAUAUUUAGCCCUGGUUAAUGUGUCUAUUUGUGGGAUAAUGUUAAUUAACUGUGGCAUGAUUGAUGCAUUAAAAACUGGAAAAAAAUAGUUAUGUGGAACAUGGAAAGGAUAGGGCUGUGGAGUGUCUUUUGAAAUGUCAGCAAUCAAAUUGCUCCUAGCAGAGAAAGAAUUGUGUGUAAAUUGUAGUUACAUGAAAACAUAAAGAAGAAAAAGAAUGUCUGCUCAUACUUUUAAUAUUAAAAAUUAGAAG
ensembl:lncRNA